rnacentral:misc_RNA from 1 species
GUAUUACGUUGCGUUAAACGCGGUAUGCAUUCCAUGAGACUUUACUACAGUGUAUGUGUAAAUACAUAGAACCACGGCAGGGGGACAGAGCCCCCAGGCUGCAGAACUAUGGAGGGUGCACAGGUGUGAGUGGAUGUGUAAACAGAGCGUGCACAUGUCCCCGUUUGAGGACCAGCAACAACUCGUGUUGACAAUUCAGUAAUGAUCCUUCCGCAGGUUCACCUACGGAAA